ensembl:lncRNA MIR9-1HG MIR9-1 host gene
GGCAGUCCAGCCGCAGGGGCCACCCGAACAGUCUCUCCUCCUCACAGAAGCCUGGAGCUGGGCAUCCAAGAAGAAGCAGCCUCAUUUGUUUUCUGGUGUCAUCGUAGGUGGCCACCUAUGGCUUUUGGGCUUCUCACCUGGGGCGGGUGGGUUCUGCACCACCCUCCCACCCUCCUUCCUCCGUGUGGACGAUAGAGCCACAUCCAGCACCACGGACAGCUCCCGGGCGAUCCCAUGGGAGUAGAAGAGGUGUGAGCAGGUUGCCCAGCUGGUUAGCGGAAAUGCCAAGAUCCAGGCUCCUGAAUUUCAGCCUGGCCCUUUCUAUCUGUCUGAUACCUCCUUUACGAGUCUCUCUGCCUGCGUUGUGUGGAGCGGGCCUGCUGCUGGUUGGGGGAGUUUGCAGGUUGCCCCUAUGCAAAAAAGGACAGGAUGCAUGACUGGCAUACCAAAAAGAAGAAUGUACUUCAUCUGGUUGGGCUGGAUUCCCUCUGAUAAGCCUUCCCAGUUGACUGAAAGAUGAGGCUAGGCUCUAGCAAGUUGAAGUCAAACCAGCUCCUUCAAGAAGCUUUGAGCAGAAUGAAGUGGGGAGGACCCAGCUUCCAGCCCAGGAAGCCCACUGUACCUGGAGCCAUCUGGGAUAAGACUUUGACCCAUGACUCCCAUAUCCACAGCCUGUCCAUCCUAGCCCAUCCCAGUUUAUCCUGUAUCAUUUGAGCUGGGAUUCCCACAUCCUCUGAGUUGGAAGUCCCAUCUCAAGUCUUCAAUAAAGACUCUUGAAUAUUGAAUCACA